CCUACGGGAGGCAGCAGUGAGGAAUAUUGGUCAAUGGGCGCGAGCCUGAACCAGCCAAGUAGCGUGAAGGAUGACUGCCCUACGGGUUGUAAACUUCUUUUAUAAAGGAAUAAAGUGAGGCACGUGUGCCUUUUUGUAUGUACUUUAUGAAAAAGCAUCGGCUAACUCCGUGCCAGCAGCCGCGGUAAUACGGAGGAUCCGAGCGUUAUCCGGAUUUAUUGGGUUUAAAGGGAGCGCAGGUGGGUUGUUAAGUCAGUUGUGAAAGUUUGCGGCUCAACCGUAAAAUUGCAGUUGAUACUGGCAGUCUUGAGUACAGUGGAGGUAGGCGGAAUGCGUGGUGUAGCGGUGAAAUGCUGAGAUAUCGCGAAGAACUCCGAUUGCGAAGGCAGCUUGCUAAACUGCCACUGACGUUGAUGCUCGAAAGUGUGGGUAUCAAACAGGAUUAGAUACCCGGGUAGUC
rnacentral:rRNA from 1 species